GGCCUAAUAGUGUAGUGGUUAACAUACCUCUUUCGGGUAGUCCCCCCUUCCCUUUGCGAGGAAUUAGAGGUGAUCCCUGGUAGAGGUGAUCCCUGGUUCGAAUCCUGGUUAGGCCC